AUGACAAGGCCUGUGCAAGCGCUAAGAGGAGCUGCGCCACAACUUUUGAUGGAUACGGAACUAGCAAGAGGGCCUGCGCGACCUCCUAUGGGUCCUAGACCAGCAAUUUGGCCUGCACCACAAACUAUGGGGGCUAUACAACCACCGCGGGGGCCUAACGCAGCAAACACAACCUAUGUGACUAGUCCUGGACUGGCACCAUCGCCUGCAUCAUCAGCAACAGUGAAUGGCAGGUAUGGACAGCAUCCAGGUUCUUCAACUACACAAUAA
rnacentral:rRNA from 1 species